rnacentral:misc_RNA from 1 species
CAAGGAUGCUUUGCGGGUUUGUGAAUCCGUGUUUGAUGAUGCUGUGGAUCGGCUCAAUGACUCGAUUUCUUCCAUGGCGGUUGGAGAAGGUGAAAAGAUAUUAUCGACUUCCAAGAUUAAUGACAUGAAAACGUGGCUUAGUACUACCAUCACUGAUCAAGAAACAUGUUUAGAUGCUCUGCAAGAACUGAACAAUACAAAGCAUUUCAACAGUAAACUUCUUGAAGAAGUGAGGACAGCAAUGGAGAAUUCAACUGAGUUCGCAAGUAAUAGUUUGGCCAUUGCCACAAAAAUCAUAGGUUUGUUGACAGAUUUUAACAUCCCAAUUCACAGAAAAUUAUUGGGGUUCGAAGGAAGCAACUCAGGGUUUCCUGGUUGGGUUAGUUUGGGAGAUAGAAGGCUGCUCCAGGAGUCGAAGCCUACGCCAAAUGCUACAGUAGCCAAGGACGGCUCUGGGGAUUACACUACCAUCGGAGAUGCAGUGGCAGCAAUUCCAAAGAAGAGCCCAUAUAAAUUCAUCAUAUAUGUGAAGGAAGGAACAUAUAUAGAAAAUGUGAUUUUGGAAAAGAAGAAGUGGAAUGUGAUGAUAUAUGGGGAUGGAAAGGACAAGACUGUUAUCUCUGGAAGCAAGAACUUUGUGGAUGGGACUCCCACAUUCGCAACAGCUACUUUUGCUGUUGCCGGCAAGAACUUCAUAGCCAGAGAUAUAAAGUUCAUCAACACGGCAGGGGCAGCAAAGCACCAAGCAGUGGCCUUCAGGUCUGGCUCAGACAUGUCUGUUUACUACCAAUGUGCAUUUGAUGCUUUCCAGGACACACUCUAUGCUCACUCCAACCGGCAGUUCUACCGGAGCUGUGACAUUACUGGCACCAUUGACUUCAUCUUCGGCAACGCGGCUGUCGUUUUCCAGGAUUGCAACAUCAUGCCCAGGCAACCCUUACCAAACCAAUUCAACACCAUCACAGCUCAGGGCAAGAAAGACCCUAAUCAAAACACUGGCAUUUCAAUUCAGAAGUGCAGAUUUUCUGCUUAUGACACCAAUCUUAAAGCCCCUACAUACCUUGGGAGGCCUUGGAAAGAUUUUUCCACUACGGUUAUUAUGCAGUCUGAAAUUGGCUCAUUCUUAAAUCCAUUGGGCUGGAUGUCGUGGAUCAGUGGUGUGGAGCCGCCCAGUACAAUAUUCUACGGAGAGUACCUGAACUCAGGGGCUGGCUCUGCUGUGGAUCAAAGGGUUAAAUGGGUUGGUUACAGGCCCGCUCUCACAGAAGAUGAGGCAGGGAAAUUUACUGUAGGAUCAUUUAUCCAAGGCCCUGAGUGGCUGCCUGCAAGCACUGUGACAUUUGAUUCCACCCUUUGAUCUGAAAUUGGAUGAGAGGUGGGGUUUCAUCAAAUCAAUUGCCAUAUUAGGUCAAGUGAAGGAAACUAUAAACUCGCCAAGAAUUGUCUAGAAGAGAUUGUUUUUUUUUUUUUUUUUUUAAUAGACAUUAGAAAAGGAAUUUGCUUAUAGUUUUCACACUCAUCCCUCUUUUUUUUGUUUUCUCUUCAAAUUAUACG